rnacentral:rRNA from 1 species
UACGAAGGGGGCUAGCGUUGCUCGGAAUCACUGGGCGUAAAGGGUGCGUAGGCGGGUCUUUAAGUCAGGGGUGAAAUCCUGGAGCUCAACUCCAGAACUGCCUUUGAUACUGAAGAUCUUGAGUUCGGGAGAGGUGAGUGGAACUGCGAGUGUAGAGGUGAAAUUCGUAGAUAUUCGCAAGAACACCAGUGGCGAAGGCGGCCAACUGGCCCGAUACUGACGCUGAGGCGCGAAAGCGUGGGGAGCAAACAGGG